rnacentral:rRNA from 1 species
AACGAACGCUGGCGGCAGGCUUAACACAUGCAAGUCGAACGGGCCCUUCGGGGUCAGUGGCAGACGGGUGAGUAACGCGUGGGAACGUGCCCUUCAGUUCGGGAUAACCCAGGGAAACUUGGGCUAAUACCGGAUACGUGCGAGAGCAGAAAGAUUUAUCGCUGAAGGAUCGGCCCGCGUCUGAUUAGCUGGUUGGUAGGGUAAUGGCCUACCAAGGCGACGAUCAGUAGCUGGUCUGAGAGGAAGAUCAGCCACACUGGGACUGAGACACGGCCCAGACUCCUACGGGAGGCAGCAGUAGGGAAUCUUGGACAAUGGGCGCAAGCCUGAUCCAGCCAUGCCGCGUGAGUGAUGAAGGCCCUAGGGUUGUAAAACUCUUUCGCCGAGGACGAUAAUGACGGUACUCGGAGAAGAAGCUCCGGUUAACUUCGUGCCAGCAGCCGCAGUAACAC